UCCGGUUUGACACCGGCAGUCUCCCUAGAGUGCCCACCCGAAGUGCUGGCAACUAAAGACAAGGGUUGCGCUCGUUGCGGGACUUAACCCAACAUCUCACGACACGAGCUGACGACAGCCAUGCAGCACCUGUGUUCUGGUUCCCUUUCGGGCACAACCCCAUCUCUGAGGUCUUCCAGACAUGUCAAGGCCAGGUAAGGUUCUUCGCGUUGCAUCGAAUUGAACCACAUGCUCCACCGCUUGUGCGGGUCCCCGUCAAUUCAUUUGAGUUUCAACCUUGCGGCCGUGCUCCCCAGGCGGACAACUUAACGCGUUAGCUGCGACACCAAGAGGCUAACCCUCCCGACAUCUAGUUGUCAUCGUUUAUGGCGUGGACUAC
rnacentral:misc_RNA from 1 species